CCUACGGGAGGCUGCAGUGGGGAAUAUUGGACAAUGGGCGGGACCCUGAUCCAGCGACGCCGCGUGAGUGAAGACUUCUUUCGGUAUUUAAAGCUCUAUCAGCAGGGAAGAAAAUGACGUUACCUGACUAAGAAGCCCCGUCUAACUACAGGCCAGCAGCCGCGGUAAUACGUAGGGGGCAAGCGUUAUCCGGAUUUACUGGGUGUAAAGGGAGCGUAGACGGUGCAGCAAGUCUGGUGUGAAAGGUCGGGGCCCAACCCUGGGACUGCAUUUGAUACUGUUGAACUAGAGUACAGGCGAGGUAAGCGGAAUACGUAAUGUAGCGGUGAAAUGCGUAGAUAUUAGGUGGAACACCAGUGGCGAAGGCGGCUUACUGGACUGUAACUGACGUUGAGGCUCGAGAGCGUGGGGAGCAAACAGGAUUAGAUACCCGAGUAGUC
rnacentral:rRNA from 1 species